CUAUUAUGAAAUACUAAUAUAUAUUUUUAUGAAUAUAUAUUAUAUAAUAUGAUAAAUUAAUAUAAUAUGUAAUAAUAUAUAUGUAAUAUAAUUGCAAAAAGUAGCAUUCAACUCUCUUACUUACGAAAAUAGUUUCCAGAGCAAUAGAAAGAAAAUCAAAGAAACAUUACUAAUGAGUGUUCUCUAGUUCACAAACCUUCUGGAAACUCCUCCAUGGACCCCAGGUUAGAAAUGCAAUCUGAGCUCAAGUCUUGGCAACAGAGGUAAAGGGAACUCUAUAGGGGCUCCAGACUCCAAAAGGUGGAGAAAACUGCAUUAGCAAUCCACCUAAGAAUAACAGAAUUAUUGGAAGUUGGGACAUAAGGUUCAAGAAAGAGACUCCCACAUCGGGAAGCAGCUGGUUUUACUACCAGUUUUACAGAUACUCUGGGUAGUGUCAGUCAAGUCUCUGCCCUUUUUCUUUUUCGUUGCUUUCUCUUCUCUCCCUUCCCUUCCCUUCCCUUCCCUUCCCUUCCCUUCCCUUCCCUGAUUGGCAUUCAUAUCUCAUACAUUGGAAAACAAAUCUCAUAGCAUUUAGCUGUUAUACAUCAUGUCAAUAAAAUGGGCCAAAAGUCCAAACUUCAUCUGUAUGCCAAUGAGAGACAUAGACUUUAAGAAACAUUCAGAGUAAGUUUUAACUGUGGCAUCAGGUAAAUUGUGAUGUGGCUCUGCUAUCUUCCCCACAAUGAUCCAAACAUUCCUCCCUUCCCCAGCUUCUGCCCCUGUGACCCUGCCUUGAAGGUAUGGU
rnacentral:lncRNA from 10 species